rnacentral:rRNA from 1 species
GACGAACGCUGGCGGCGUGCUUAACACAUGCAAGUCGAGCGGUAAGGCUCCUUCGGGAGUACACGUGCGGCGAACGGGUGAGUAACACGUGAGCAACCUGCCCUUCUCAUCGGAAUAAGCGUUGGAAACGACGUCUAAUGCCGAAUAUGACCUCCUUUCGCAUGAUCGGAGGUGGAAAGCUCCGGCGGAGAAGGAUGGGCUCGCGGCCUAUCAGCUUGUUGGUGGGGUAACGGCCCACCAAGGCGACGACGGGUAGCCGGCCUGAGAGGGUGACCGGCCACACUGGGACUGAGACACGGCCCAGACUCCUACGGGAGGCAGCAGUGGGGAAUAUUGGACAAUGGGCGAGAGCCUGAUCCAGCAACGCCGCGUGAGGGAUGACGGCCUUCGGGUUGUAAACCUCUUUCAGCAGGGACGAAGCGAAAGUGACGGUACCUGCAGAAGAAGGACCGGCCAACUACGUGCCAGCCGCCGCAGUAA